rnacentral:rRNA from 1 species
UACGUAGGGGCCUAGCGUUGUCCGGAAUCAUUGGGCGUAAAGAGCGCGUAGGCGGCCCGGUAAGUCCGCUGUAAAAGUCAAAGGCUCAACCUUUGAAUGUCAGUGGAUACUGCCGGGCUAGAGUCCGGAAGAGGCGAGUGGAAUUCCUGGUGUAGCGGUGGAAUGCGCAGAUAUCAGGAGGAACACCAACGGCGAAGGCAGCUCGCUAGGACGGUACUGACGCUGAGGCGCGAAAGCGUGGGGAGCGAACAGG